CGAGAGCCGAACUUUUACUACGAGUGGUCUACUCCAAACUUCUACUACGAGCGGUCUACUCCGAACUUCUAUUACGAGCGGUCUACUCCAAACUCCUAUAGCGGGCGGUCUACCACGGAUCUCUACUGUAAGCAAAUUUCAUUCGAGCCUCUAUUGUAAACACAUUUCUUCCGAACUUCUAUUACAGGUAGACUUCAGUCGAGCUUCUUCAUAGCCGGAUCCCAGACGAGUUUCUACAAUGGGACGGGACCCACCGGCCAGAUCGCUACUCU
rnacentral:lncRNA from 1 species